ACUAUUUUCUCUUCAAUCAGACUUCCAAAAUAUUUCGCCUCCAGUCUUGUAUAUGGGUGAGUUCCUCCUUGUGAUUUCUAGGAAACCAGGCUGAGAAAUUCCCCAACACAUUUAGCAGGGGAAAUUGUAUCCCAAAGCCAUAAAUACAGGAAUGAGCUGCCUAUGACAGAAGCUGUUUAUACAAAACAUUCAACUUGGGUCAUCCCAUCCCAAACCACUUGCAACCAAAGGGAAGGAAAGGAGUCCACUGGACUUGGAAUCUCCUCUAGUUAAAUAACAUUUGGGGUUAUUCAGUAUUUUUCUGUGGAUUCUAUCAGUUGCAUAUAAAAUAUGAAAAUCCUGUUGGAUAAUUUUCUAACCUCAUAAACAGAGGGGCCCUUCGGGUUCCUGGGAAAUUUCUCUCAGUUAGCUUCAGUGUAGGAACUGAACAGAACUGAGCCAAAGCAAGCUUAGUGUGGCCUAGCCUGGUCUGGUGCCCCUUUUCCUGGCAUCUCCUGAGCUGGCCUUCCUUCAUCACUCCUAUAAUUCCCAGGUUCCAGCCAUCAAGUCAUCAUGAGAAUCCUCUACCUGGUGUUUAUGAUGCUAUUUGUGAUCUUCUCCUGUUUUGGCACAGGGUAUGGUGGAUAUUUUGACAAUUUUGUAUGUUUAAUCAGAGGCGGCAGUUGUGAGAAGGAUCUUUGUACUUUUCCUCUUGUUCAAAAGGCCACCUGCCAUAAAAGGAGAUGGCAUUGUUGCUUUUACAGGCCAAAUGAUUUUAUAACAGGAAGGCCUGAUAUAGACAGAUUUUGAAGGAAGACAAAGAGUGUAAAAGAUGGGAGGGGUUGAAAUGAAAUUUUCCUCAUUCUUAUUUUAAUAAACACUAUCACUUUAGGAAAGUAUGUUUUCUA
rnacentral:lncRNA from 1 species